GUGGGGAAUAUUGGACAAUGGGCGCAAGCCUGAUCCAGCCAUGCCGCGUGAGUGAUGAAGGCCUUAGGGUUAUAAAGCUCUUUCAGUGGGGACGAUAAUGACGGUACCCACAGAAGAAGCCCCGGCUAACUUCGUGCCAGCAGCCGCGGUAAUACGAAGGGGGCUAGCGUUGUUCGGAUUUACUGGGCGUAAAGCGCACGUAGGCGGGUCGUUAAGUCGGGGGUGAAAUCCUGGAGCUCAACUCCAGAACUGCCUUCGAUACUGGCGACCUAGAGUCCGGAAGAGGUGAGUGGAACUCCUAGUGUAGAGGUGGAAUUCGUAGAUAUUAGGAAGAACACCAGUGGCGAAGGCGGCUCACUGGUCCGGUACUGACGCUGAGGUGCGAAAGCGUGGGGAGCAAACAGGAUUAGAUACCCGAGUAGUCC
rnacentral:rRNA from 1 species